ensembl:lncRNA
GGUUGGGGGUUAGGGUUAGGUUUUAGGGUUAAGGUUAAGGUUAGGGUUAGGUUUUAGGGUUAAGGUUAGGGUUAGGUUUUAGGGUUAAGGUUAAGGUUAGGGUUAGGUUUUAGGGUUAGGGUUAGGUUUUAGGGUUAGGGUUAGUGCUUUUAGGAGGGUGGGCGCUAACCCGUGUGCACAGGCCAUCUAUGUCGUUUGCUCGAAUGGAUUCACUUCACAUUGAGGCCUUGGGGAUGUAUAGUACCUAAUUUCCUAAUCCAGAUCUUUUCUGCUCUUUUUCUCUGGAGCACAGACCACAACGGGUUGGCCUGCAGGACCGUGACGCUGAAUGAGUCCCAUCCGUGCUCCAGAAAGUGUUGGACCAGGUAGGUAUUCUUUUCUUUUCCUUUCAGGAUGUUGUGUUUGUGUUGGGUCAUUCUGACCAGAAUGGUGUUUCCCGUCUCACCCACGUAUUGUGUGCAACACUUUUUGCAGGUGAUUAGGUACACCGCAUUUUUAGUGUGUACGGUGCCCGAUCGGUGAGUAGGGAAGACUUCCUUCGUGCUUCUGUUUAGGACGUAUUCUCUUUGGAAAAGAUAUUGCCCGUGAUGCUUGGGUUUAGCAUCGUGGAGGGCCCGAACUUUAGCUCUGAUCAAAUAGUCAUGCAGAUUUUUGUUCUUCCGGAACGCUGCAAUGACCUUGUGGUUUUUGAAUAUCUGUGUCUGUCCCAACAGGUUUUGGAAGUUGGACCUAACCCCCCUGGUCAGUUUCACCGCGGCGGACGAGUACGUCAGGACAAAGGGCACGACGGUGCCCUCCGUCUGCGUCCCUUUG